rnacentral:rRNA from 1 species
UCGGGAAUUUUCCGCAAUGGGCGAAAGCCUGACGGAGCGACACCGCGUGAGGGAUGACGGCCUUCGGGUUGUAAACCUCUUUCAAAGCACCGGCUAACUACGUGCCAGCAGCAGCGGUCAUACGUAGGGUGCAAGCAUUAUCCGGUCUUACUGGGCGUAAAGAGUUCUGUAGGCGGACAUUCAAGUUGGAGGUUAAAUACCUGGGCCUAACCCAGGGAAAACUUUCAAUACUGUUUGUCUAUGAGAUGGCUAGGGGGUAGCGGAACGCAUGGUGUAGCAGUGAAAUGCGUUGAUAUCAUGCGGAACACCAAGGGGGAAGCCAGCUACCUGGGGCCAUUCUGACGCUGAGAGACGAAAGCGUGGGGAGCGAAACGG